rnacentral:rRNA from 1 species
CCCUUAGAUGUUCUGGGCCGCACACGCGCUACACUGAAGGAGGCAGCGUGUACUCCUGGAUCGAAAGAUUUGGGUAACCCGCGAAUCUCCUUCGUGCUAGGGAUUGAGGUUUGCAAUUAUCCUUCAUGAACGAGGAAUUCCCAGUAAGUGCAAGUCAUAAGCUUGCGCUGACUACGUCCCUGCCCUUUGUACACACCGCCCGUCGCUACUACCGAUUGAAUAACAGGGUGAAAUCUUCGGACCGUGGCAUUCAUUUGGCCUAGCCAAAUCUUGCUCGUGGGAGGUCGCUUAAAUCCUGUUAUUUAGAGGAAGUAAAAGUCGUAACA